UACGGAGGGUGCAAGCGUUAUCCGGAUUCACUGGGUUUAAAGGGUGCGUAGGCGGAUAGGUAAGUCCGUGGUGAAAUCCUGCAGCUUAACUGCAGAACUGCCAUGGAUACUAUCUAUCUUGAAUGUCGUGGAGGUUAGCGGAAUAUGUCAUGUAGCGGUGAAAUGCUUAGAUAUGACAUAGAACACCCAUUGCGAAGGCAGCUAACUACGCGAUAAUUGACGCUGAUGCACGAAAGCGUGGGGAUCAAACAGGAUUAGAUACCCUGGUAGUCCACGCCCUAAACGAUGAUUACUCGACAUUGGCGAUACACAGUCAGUGUCUGAGCGAAAGCAUUAAGUAAUCCACCUGGGAAGUACGAUCGCAAGAUUGAA
rnacentral:rRNA from 1 species